CCCUAGCCCCGAUUGCAAUGAAAAGCUUUUUAUGAAAGUCGUUUUAGUUUUUCUUGAUUAUAAAAAGCGACUCCUCUCCCCAGCCCUCUCCAAAAGAAAGGGAGAAAAUAGGAAAACGGCCUUUUAUUUGCUUUUUUAUCAACUUUAGAAAAACGAACGGCUAAAUAAAAACUUGUAAUGAAAAGCGGGAAAUGGC
rnacentral:sRNA from 1 species